AAUUGUCAGAGAAUCAAAAACAAAAAACUCGAACGCAGACCAGAGACCAGAAACUUACUUGAGAAAAUUAGGCAUCAAAAAGCAGUUUGCGGUUGAGCUUCUCACCCAAGUCAAUGAGAAAGGUUCGAAUUUCCAUAGGAGAGAGUUCCACCACUAACUUUUUAGGGUCUACAGGGCCUCCUCUCUUAGCUUUAACUUCAUUUGAACCAUUCUCUACCUUCCACACCUUUCGUUUCUUCUCCAUAUCUGUCCUUUUUUGAUUUGCAGACA
rnacentral:misc_RNA from 1 species